rnacentral:rRNA from 1 species
UACGUAGGGGGCAAGCGUUAUCCGGAUUUACUGGGUGUAAAGGGAGCGUAGACGGCUUUGCAGGCCAGAUGUGAAAGCCCGGGGCUCAACCCCGGGACUGCAUUUGGAACUGUGUGGCUAGAGUGUCGGAGAGGCAGGCGGAAUUCCUAGUGUAGCGGUGAAAUGCGUAGAUAUUAGGAGGAACACCAGUGGCGAAGGCGGCCUGCUGGACGAUGACUGACGUUGAGGCUCGAAAGCGUGGGGAGCAAGCAGG